AGGUUAAGCUACAAAGAGCACACGGAGGAUGCCUAGGCGCCAGGAGCCGACGAAGGACGUGGCGAACAACGAUAAGGCCUCGGGGAGCUGUAAGCAAGCUUUGAUCCGGGGAUGUCCGAAUGGGGAAACCCGGCUGUCUUCAUCGACAGUCACUUUCUGCUGAAUACAUAGGCAGAAGAGAGGCAGACCAGGGGAACUGAAACAUCUAAGUACCCUGAGGAAGAGAAAACAAUAGUGAUUCCGUCAGUAGCGGCGAGCGAACGCGGAUUAGCCCAAACCAAGGAGCUUGCUCCUUGGGGUUGUGGGACGUCUCACAUGGAGUUACAAAGGAACCGGUUAGAUGAAGAGGUCUGGAAAGGCCCGCCAGAGAAGGUAAAAGCCCUGUAGUUCAAAACCUGUUCCCUCCGAGACGGAUCCCGAGUAGUGCGGGGCACGUGAAACCCCGUAUGAAUCCGGCAGGACCAUCUGCCAAGGCUAAAUACUCCCUGGCGACCGAUAGUGAAGCAGUACCGUGAGGGAAAGGUGAAAAGCACCCCGGAAGGGGAGUGAAAUAGAUCCUGAAACCGUGUGCUUACAAGAAGUCAGAGCCC
rnacentral:rRNA from 1 species